UACAGAGGGUGCAAGCGUUAAUCGGAUUUACUGGGCGUAAAGCGUGCGUAGGCGGCCAGACCAGUCGGAUGUGAAAUCCCCGAGCUUAACUUGGGAACUGCAUCCGAAACUAUCUGGCUAGAGUGUGGUAGAGGGCGGUGGAAUUCCCGGUGUAGCGGUGAAAUGCGUAGAUAUCGGGAGGAACAUCAAUGGCGAAGGCAGCUGCCUGGGCCAACACUGACGCUGAGGUACGAAAGCGUGGGGAGCAAAC
rnacentral:rRNA from 1 species